UAUUUUAUUCUGUUUGUAUUUUUAGUUUCGCUUGAGUGUUUUCAUUGUUUUUAUACAUUUUUAAGUGCUUCAUAAAUUAACAGUUAAUACUUCCGUAUUCCAUCAAAGCCUUACACAUGAGUUGUUGAAAUAAUGGUUUACAAUGUUUUUAUAGUGGCGCUUAUACUUGGCUGAAUUUUGAAAAAAUUAGAGGAUUUUUCAUCUCGAGGAUAUAACCAGUCUCUAUUCGGAAUUAGAGCUGUUCCAGAUGACAAAUGUUUCAUUUUUGUUGGCAUUAACGGUAGCACUCUCCCUUCGGACCACAUCUUCAGAAAGAGGUCUUAGGACCAAUAAAUGUUUAAUGGAACGCACUCAUUUCCGUUAUUGAAUAAAAUUUAAGGACUUUCAGUUAAAAUUUGUAGAUUAAUCUUGCAGUGGAAGAUGUUUAUUUUCGCCUUUAUGAGUCAUCAUAAAUAAAUACGUUCCACAACCUU